UGUCUUGUAAUUGGAAUGAUGGGAAUUUAAACCUCUUCCAGAGUAUCAAUUGGAGGGCAAGUCUGGUGCCAGCAGCCGCGGUAAUUCCAGCUCCAAUAGCGUAUAUUAAAAUUGUUGCAGUUAAAAAGCUCGUAGUUGAAUUUCUGCUGCAUUGCUUUUGCUCCUUUACGAGUCUUUGCAUUGUGGCUUAUUUCGGACUUUGUUUUACAAUGUCCGGAUGUUUACUUUGAGAAAAUUAGAGUGCUCAAAGCAGGCUUUCGCCUUGAAUAGUUUAGCAUGGAAUAAUAAAGUAGGACUUUGGUUCUAUUUUGUUGGUUUUAGGUACCAAAGUAAUGGUUAAUAGGAACAGUUGGGGGCAUUCGUAUUUAACUGUCAGAGGUGAAAUUCUUAGAUUUGUUAAAGACGAACUACUGCGAAAGCAUUUGCCAAGGAUGUUUUCAUUAAUCAAGAACGAAAGUUAGGGGAUCGAAGACGAUCAGAUACCGUCGUAGUCCUACCAUAA
rnacentral:rRNA from 1 species